ensembl:lncRNA
AAACCACCUGGAUCUUCAGUAAUUCAAAAAUACCAUUAGCAGUAGAGCUGGUUACUCUUGGACAAAUUAAGAAUAAGACCAACAAAGACAGACUGAAUGUUACAGCAAAUUGUUCUCUGGUUAUAAAGAAAGUUACAGUUGAGGAUGCUGGUCAUUACUCCUGCAGACAAUAUAUAUCAGAGAAACAACGUGGUGAAGAUGCUUGGGUUGAUCUGUCUGUUGUUACUGUGACUGAACAUAAAGACACUGAUCUGGUGACUCUAAACUGCUCUGUGACGACAAAUAGACAAUGCAGACACACAGUGAAGUGGCUUUUUAAGGGUCAAGCUGUGGAUAAUGACAACCCAAACAUAAAGACAUCCCAGUCUUCCUGCUCUGUUACUGUGAGCUUUGUGAAUAAUUUUGUGGGAUCAUCAAUACCAUAUCAUGACUUGUUUAAAUGUAGUGUAUCUACAGAGACUAACAAAGAGCCACUGAC